AGGGGGAUCCCGCAGGCAGAAAUCUGUGGUGGGCGGGCGGCAGGUGAGCAAGGAGAACGUGUCUCUAAAGGAAGCACAGGGAACAGGUGGUGGCUUUGUAAGACAGUUGGAACCCAAGGAAGGCAGGCCAUCCCCCAGGAAAGCCUAUGUUGGUGAGGGUUACGGUGGGAGAACGAGUGAGCUACAGCCUGGCACCACCACACCCUGGAAGGUGCAGUUGGGAAGAAGGUUUCUGAGGCUGUAGACAUGAGGAUCAGAUGCUGGAGAAACCCCCUGCUGCUGCUGAUUGCCCUGGUCCUGUCAGCCAAGCUGGGUCACUUCCAAAGGUGGGAGGGCUUCCAGCAGAAGCCCAUGAGCAAGAAGAACAUGAAUUCAACACUUGACUUCUUUAUUCAAUCCUACAACAAUGCCAGCAACGACACCUACUUAUAUCGAGUCCAGAAGCUAAUUCGAAGUCAGAUGCAGAUGGAGUUUCGCUCUUGUUGCCCAAGCUGGAGUGCAAUGGCA
rnacentral:sRNA from 1 species